rnacentral:tRNA from 4 species
GGGCCGUUAGCUCAGCUGGUAGAGCAGUUGGCUUUUAACCAAUUGGUCGCUGGUUCGAAUCCAGCACGGCCCACCA